UCUCCAGAAGGAAUCGAAGCGUUUCGUUGAAGUUUUUACGUCGAAACUCAAGCUCGCCGGAUUCUGGAAUUUUUCCGACCACCGAAGCUUUCGAUCGGUAUAUCUCGAGCUACAGACCAUAUUUUUCUGUGAUUCUUGAACCAAUGAGUUCACCUUGAGUUUCUUAACAACUCUCUAGAAGGGAUCGAAGCCUGAAAUUGAAGUUUUGACGUCGAAAUCAAGCCUUGCCGGAUUCUGCAAAUUUCGCCGGAUUCUGGAAAUUUUCCGGCCACCUCGACUGUUUUAGGUGAUUGACGGUCUCCCUUGGGUGAACGAUUUCGGUGUGUAUUGUGUUGAAUUGAAGACGCAGCGGGAAUAUCGAGCGGGUAAUCCUGCAGGUCAGGAGAAUCAGGGCGGUGAUCGAGCGGGUUAGAGUAUUUGUUAUAGUUUUACAGCAUUUGUAAUAGUGAGGUGAGUUAAGCUCAUUGAGCCUUACAAUUUGAUUUGGUGAGAGUGUGUUGUAAUAAUUAACUUGAG